rnacentral:rRNA from 1 species
CAGUGGCGAACGGGUGAGUAACACGUGGGCAAUCUGCCCUGCACUCUGGGACAAGCCCUGGAAACGGGGUCUAAUACCGGAUAUUACCUUCCCCUGCAUGGGGGUUGGUGGAAAGCUCCGGCGGUGCAGGAUGAGCCCGCGGCCUAUCAGCUUGUUGGUGGGGUAAUGGCCUACCAAGGCGACGACGGGUAGCCGGCCUGAGAGGGCGACCGGCCACACUGGGACUGAGACACGGCCCAGACUCCUACGGGAGGCAGCAGUGGGGAAUAUUGCACAAUGGGCGAAAGCCUGAUGCAGCGACGCCGCGUGAGGGAUGACGGCCUUCGGGUUGUAAACCUCUUUCAGCAGGGAAGAAGCGAAAGUGACGGUACCUGCAGAAGAAGCACCGGCUAACUACGUGCCAGCAGCCGCGGUAAUACGUAGGGUGCGAGCGUUGUCCGGAAUUAUUGGGCGUAAAGAGCUCGUAGGCGGCCUGUUGCGUCGGUUGUGAAAGCCCGGGGCUUAACCCCGGGUCUGCAGUCGAUACGGGCAGGCUAGAGUUCGGUAGG